rnacentral:misc_RNA from 1 species
UUUCCGUAGGUGAACCUGCGGAAGGAUCAUUGUCGAAGCCUGCCCAGCAGAACGACCCGCGAACUUGUAUAAACAACCGGGGGCAGGGGCGAUCUCGCCCCGAGCCCUCGAACGGCAGCGAGACACUCGUGCCUUCUCGUCGAACAACGAACCCCGGCGCGUUCUGCGCCAAGGAACUUCAAUUAAAGAGUGCCUCCGGUCGCCUCGGAAGCGAUGCGAGUGUCGGCGGCGAAUCUUGUACAAACCCGUAACGACUCUCGGCAACGGAUAUCUCGGCUCUCGCAUCGAUGAAGAACGGAGC